CCAGAACUCUACGGAAUUAUCUCCAUGCUUCUACAGUACACUUUUACUGUGUCAGAGAGGGGGGCAGAUAUGCACUGGUUUUCCACAGGGGGUGUAUGUCCAGUUCUGCCUGGAAGAAUGUUGGGAGUACUGGAGCUCACACCAGCUCCCCUAGGCUCUCGUCUCUCUGUGAAAGCCCCAGAGUGUGAGUUCAUUCUGGGCCGUCAAGGUCUCCGAGAGCAGCCUUCUCUCACCAUACCCCUGGGUCCCUUAUGCCUGCUACUGUCUACAUACAAAACAACAACAUAGAGAAGUAUUGGUUGGCAAUGAUACGAGUCCCUCAAUGAUGUGAAAAGUACAAGGAGGUGACGAGAUCAGGAGAGGAGAUGAGGAGAUGACGAGAGGAGAUGAGAUGACGAGAUCAGGAGAGGAGACGAGGAGAUGACGAGAUCAGUAGAGGAGACGAGGAGAUCAGGAGAGGAGACGAUGAGAUCAGGAGAGGAGACGACGAGAUCAGGAGAGGAGACGAGGAGAUGACGAGAUCAGGAGAGGAGACGAGGAGACGAGGAGACGACGAGAUCAGGAGAGGAGACGACGAGAUCAGGAGAGGAAACGACGAGAUCGGCUAAAUCUGACGUUAAAAUGCCUGUUUACUCUGUUCCAUCUGACUAUGCAAUCCACUGUCUCAUCAGCCCAGCCAAGCAAUUUAUCAACUUGAUCUCCACUAUAAAAAGCAUCUAGACAUUAUCUCACAUUUGUUUAAGACUAACAUUUAGUUUUCAACAGUGGAGAUUUGUAUAACCCUUGCUGUCUCUCUCCGACAUUUGCAACAUUGUUUCAAUAUUCAAAUUCGAUCUCGUGCUGUCCCAUAGUAAUGAACGUGUCGUCAGUCGGGACGAGACAGGCAGACAGGCAGGCAAGCAAAGGAUAAGAACGUUGCCAGCCAGUAUGGCAAUGGAACAUUUAGAACGAACGACUGGGUUGCGUCCAUAGAUACAGAACAAAAAGACUGAACGACUGGGUGGCGUUUAUAGAUACUGAACAAAAAGACUGAACGACUGGGUCGCGUUUAUAGGAACCCUAGAUUUACGUCGGGACUAUAUCUUGUGGAAGGAUGAAAUAGAAAUAGUAUGAAUAAAUGAAUCAAAAUAGUUUUUAAUUAAAUAAUGUCAAUCAUUAUUCGAAUAUGUUGGUAAUCCAUUGUAUAAAAGUGAUAAUGCCC
rnacentral:lncRNA from 1 species